rnacentral:rRNA from 1 species
AGAGUUUGAUCAUGGCUCAGAACGAACGCUGGCGGCAUGCCUAACACAUGCAAGUCGAACGAGACCUUCGGGUCUAGUGGCGCACGGGUGCGUAACGCGUGGGAACCUGCCUUUAGGUUCGGAAUAACUCAGAGAAAUUUGAGCUAAUACCGGAUAAUGUCUUCGGACCAAAGAUUUAUCGCCUUUAGAUGGGCCCGCGUUGGAUUAGCUAGUUGGUGGGGUAAAGGCCUACCAAGGCGACGAUCCAUAGCUGGUCUGAGAGGAUGAUCAGCCACACUGGGACUGAGACACGGCCCAGACUCCUACGGGAGGCAGCAGUGGGGAAUAUUGGACAAUGGGCGAAAGCCUGAUCCAGCAAUGCCGCGUGAGUGAUGAAGGCCUUAGGGUUGUAAAGCUCUUUUACCCGAGAUGAUAAUGACAGUAUCGGGAGAAUAAGCUCCGGCUAACUCCGUGCCAGCAGCCGUGGUAAUACGGAGGGAGCUAGCGUUGUUCGGAAUUACUGGGCGUAAAGCGCACGUAGGCGGCUUUUUAAGUCAGGGGUGAAAUCCCGGGGCUCAACCCCGGAACUGCCCUUGAAACUGGGAAGCUAGAAUCUUGGAGAGGCGAGUGGAAUUCCGAGUGUAGAGGUGAAAUUCGUAGAUAUUCGGAAGAACACCAGUGGCGAAGGCGACUCGCUGGACAAGUAUCGACGCUGAGGUGCGAAAGCGUGGGGAGUAAACAGGAUUAGAUACCCCGGUAGUCC